GACGAACGCUGGCGGCGUGCUUAACACAUGCAAGUCGAACGGAAAGGCCCUGCUUUUGUGGAGUGCUCGAGUGGCGAACGGGUGAGUAACACGUGAGUAACCUGCCCUUGACUUUGGGAUAACUUCAGGAAACUGGGGCUAAUACCGGAUAGGAGCUCCUGCUGCAUGGUGGGGGUUGGAAAGUUUCGGCGGUUGGGGAUGGACUCGCGGCUUAUCAGCUUGUUGGUGGGGUAGUGGCUUACCAAGGCUUUGACGGGUAGCCGGCCUGAGAGGGUGACCGGCCACCUUGGGACUGAGAUACGGCCCAGACUCCUACGGGAGGCAGCAGUGGGGAAUAUUGCACAAUGGGCGGAAGCCUGAUGCAGCAACGCCGCGUGCGGGAUGACGGCCUUCGGGUUGUAAACCGCUUUCGCCUGUGACGAAGCGUGAGUGACGGUAAUGGGUAAAGAAGCACCGGCUAACUACGUG
rnacentral:rRNA from 1 species